GACGAACGCUGGCGGCGUGCUUAACACAUGCAAGUCGAACGGAAAGGCCCUGCUUUUGUGGGGUGCUCGAGUGGCGAACGGGUGAGUAACACGUGAGUAACCUGCCCUUUACUUUGGGAUAACUUCAGGAAACUGGGGCUAAUACCGGAUAGGAGCUCCUGCUGCAUGGUGGGGUUUGGAAAGUUUCGGCGGUUGGGGAUGGACUCGCGGCUUAUCAGCUUGUUGGUGGGGUAGUGGCUUACCAAGGCUUUGACGGGUAGCCGGCCUGAGAGGGUGACCGGCGACAUUGGGACUGAGAUACGGCGCAGACUCCUACGGGAGGCAGCAGUGGGGAAUAUUGCACAAUGGGCGGAAGCCUGAUGCAGCAACGCCGCGUGCGGGAUGACGGCCUUCGGGUUGUAAACCGCAUUCGCCUGUGACGAAGCGUGAGUGACGGUAAUGGGUAAAGAAGCACCGGCUAACUACGUG
rnacentral:rRNA from 1 species